CGACAAUAAGACUGAGAUAAUCUCUUAU
rnacentral:misc_RNA from 1 species